rnacentral:ncRNA from 1 species
CCACAAGGGGAGCAAUUUUGCUGAGAGUGAACACUUUUUUUGUUCAGACCCUUCGAACCUGUUAGUUAAUGCUAGCGUAGGAAUGUGGAGAUUAAU